rnacentral:misc_RNA from 1 species
CAAAACUAAUAAUAAUAAAAGGAGCAUAACAUUGAUUUUCCUAAUUAACAUCUCUUAAUCGAGGCCCAUGAUAGUUUCCCUUGCAAUUCAGCAAAUUUAAACCUGUCUUGUAAAUUCCAUCCAGAAAAAUUGACCACUUGAGUCAUAGCAAGUCUCCACUGUUGCACCCUCUCGUCGUUCUGCUGAUAAUGUUCAAAGUCAUUUUCAAAACUCCCAUUCUGCUUUCGAACUUCUGAUGGAUUCACAUCAUAGAAAAUGAGCAAAACUAUUUGGUUGCCAGAGUUCUUGCAUUCUAAAAUUUUUACGAGUUCAUCCAAACACCAUGUUGAAGAAGCAUAAUUUUUUGAAAAGAUGACAAGAGAAAUUUUGGAGCUUUCAAUUGCUUUGAGGAGUUCUUGAGAAAUAGUUUCCCCUUUCUCAAGUUCUCUAUCAUCCUUGAAUGUGAUGAUUCCUUUUUGGCAAAACUCUUUAUACAAAUGACUAAUAAAAUUCUUACGGGUAUCUUUGCCACUAAAGCUAAGAAAAACAUCAUAUUUCCAUUGUUGAGAAGAAGAAGAAGAAG